AUACGUAUGUCGCAAGCGUUAUCCGGAUUUAUUGGGCGUAAAGCGCGUCUAGGCGGCUUAGUAAGUCUGAUGUGAAAAUGCGGGGCUCAACCCCGUAUUGCGUUGGAAACUGCUAAACUAGAGUACUGGAGAGGUAGGCGGAACUACAAGUGUAGAGGUGAAAUUCGUAGAUAUUUGUAGGAAUGCCGAUGGGGAAGCCAGCCUACUGGACAGAUACGGACGCUAAAGCGCGAAAGCGUGGGUAGCAAACAGGAUUAGAUACCCUGGUAGUCCACGCCGUAAACGAUGAUUACUAGGUGUUGGGGGUCGAACCUCAGCGCCCAAGCUAACGCGAUAAGUAAUCCGCCUGGGGAGUACGUACGCAAGUAUGAAACUCAAAGGAAUCGGCGGGG
rnacentral:rRNA from 1 species